GGGGACGCGUGCAUUAAAUAACCACCUGCCACCUGCCAGUGCACCAAGUUCUAAUGGACUGCCGCCUGCCAGCGCACCAAAUUCUAAUGGACUGCCGCCUGCCAGCGCACCAAGUUCUAAUGGACUGCCGCCUGCCAGUGCACCAAGUUCUAAUGGACUGCCGCCUGCCAGUGCACCAAGUUCUAAUGGACUGCCGCCUGCCAGUGCACCAAGUUCUAAUGGACUGCCGCCUGCCAGUGCACCAAGUUCUAAUGGACUGCCGCCUGCCAGUGCACCAAGUUCUAAUGGACUGCCGCCUGCCAGUGCACCAAGUUCUAGUGGACCUUUUAAACAGAAGGCUGAAAUAUGUAGCCCACUUACAUGCUCCACAGUUGUUGCCAAUAAUAGUCAGGUCUUGUCAUUGCCUGCCGAAGCAGGAAAGAAAGCUAUUCAUAGCAAAGAAAGUGGCAUUAGUCAAGAGAAACGUAAAAUAGACAUGUUAGAACCUGUUAAACAGUCUGUAGGAGCAGAUGAUGCAGCCUAUAGUUCUGAAAAAACCGAUAUAGCCAUACGUCCUGCUUCUUCAUUUAUGAACAGUCAGUUUGAUAUCACCCCGUCUUUGAAGGACACAGAUAUACAUUUGAUCACAUCAUCCAGUGCUACAAAUACCUUUGAUCUUCCUUUGAUGUCCAAUGUACCUAGUUUACCAAAAGAUCCCUAUGAUGCCACAGAUGUUGAGGAGAAUGUAUGCUCAGAUUUUUCAUCAUUUAGCAUUGAUAAACAACAAAAGUCACAUGCUACCUAUGAGAAAUCAAGGGAGCUGUCGCCUUCUCAGACGAAUGGGAAAUCUGUGAUUUCUGCAGAUGAUGUUAUUAUCUCAAGACAAACGUCUGAUUUGAGACUGGAAACACAGGAUCAAGGAAUACAAGACACAGCUCCUGAAAUGGAGGAUGAUUUGCUAUCUUUCAAUGCACAGAGACAUAGGGACCCUGAAGUAAUUUUAGAGAAAAGCCACUCAUCAAGUCCUUCCAUCUCUUUACACUCUUCAGGGCAGCUUAAGGGUUAUUCUUCGCAGUUUGCCAAUGGGGUUGGACCUAUUAGAGCCAACAUGCAAACUUUUGAUCAGAGAGUUGAUUCAGUAUUACAGCCUUCUAGUAUUGGAGAACUUCGUAAUGGAUACCCUGAAAAUCCAUUCAGUUGUGCGGGUAAAUAUUUGGGAAGCACUGAUGACACUUAUUAUUUGUCUAAUGAAAGUAAGAGGAUGCACUUGAAUAGGUUUGAAGGUGAAACUGCUACUGCAGAUCAUAGUACUAAUGCAGAUAGGGGAGAGAACAAUAUAAUAUCUAAUAUUUUGUCUAUGGAUUUCGACCCAUGGAAUGAGUCAUUAGCCUCUCAGAACUUGGUUAAGUUGUUGGGAGAAACUGAUAACCAACAAGGGUCUAGAGUAUCAAACUCAAGAAAAGUACAGAGCAGCAAUCAGUCAAGGUUCUCUUUUGCAAGGGAGGAAGAACCCAUGAAUGCAUCUACUGAUUCUCGUCCAUCUUUAAGUUACAUUGACAGAAGUUAUAGUCAUCGCCCUCUUGAUCAAGAUUUUCAAAAUAGCAGAAGUUAUCAGCUUGAUGGUUUUGGUACUCGCAAUGGUUUCUCACUAUUUAAUAAUCAGGAAUCUAAUGGUUUUGCCAACAAUUAUUCUCACCUCUCCUCUAAUAAGCAAUCAGGUUAGUGUAUCACUUGUUCUUUUUAAUUCUA
rnacentral:lncRNA from 1 species